AAUAUUUAACAAUGGGGGCAACCCUGAUCCAGCCAUGCCGCGUGUGUGAAGAAGGUCUUCGGAGUGUAAAGCACUUUAAGUUGGGAGGAAGGGCUUUAGGUUAAUACCCUGAAGUUUUGACGUUACCAACAGAAUAAGCACUGGCUAACUCUGUGCCAGCAGCCGCGGUAAUACAGAGUGUGCAAGCGUUAAUCGGAAUUACUGGGCGUAAAGGGCGCGUAGGUGGUUCAGUAAGAUGGGUAUUAAAUCCCUGGGCUUAACCUGGGAACUGCUUUCAUCACUGCUAAGCUAGAGUACGGUAGAGGGUAAUUGAAUUUCCUGUGUAGCGGUGAAAUGCGUAGAUAUAGGAAGGAAAACCAGUGGCGAAGGCGACUACCUGGACUGAUACUGACACUGAGGUGCGAAAGCGUGGGGAGCAAAC
rnacentral:rRNA from 1 species